ensembl:lncRNA
CUAUUUUUAAGGAAGGAAUGAAUGAAACUACAUUUGAAAUUGGUAAAGAACCUAUACAAAAGGAGGCUAUUCCUUUUUAUAGGAGGUUGUGUGUGUAACUUUUUUUUUUUUGCUGCUUUUACAAAGGAAAAGACGACACAGUACAUCACCCAGUCCAUCACGCAGCAGUGGCAGUAGACGAGCAAAAUCCCCAUCACCAAAAUCGGAGCGCUCCGAGCGAUCUGAGAGAUCCCACAAAGAGAGCUCACGAUCCAGGUCAUCUCACAAAGAUUCUCCUAGAGAUGCCAGUAAAAAAGCCAAAAGGUCGCCAUCUGGCUCAAGGACACCCAAAAGAUCAAGAAGGUCACGGUCCAGGUCCCCUAAAAAGUCAGGAAAAAAAUCCAGGUCGCAGUCCCGUUCUCCGCACAGAUCUCACAAGAAGUCAAAGAAAAGCAAACACUGACAAAAAUUUUUAUGAUGCUGUCACUUACUGGAAAUGCGGUUUUGUUUUUGUGCCUGAACAGUCUGUUUAAAAAACAAAAAAAAUCAAACAAAAAAGCAUUCCUGAAUUUUUUGUGAAUGCAUGUGUAUACUCAUGAGUAACUGCAUCUGUAGACCUGUCAUUGUUUUAUAUUGUACAAAAUACCUUCAUUGUGGCUAUUUUCCCAAAUGAAACAUUUUUGUGUUUAGAGAUUUCAUCAGAAAUGUGUGUAUCUGAUCUGCUGGCAUUAGUGAUAUUUUUGUUUUAGAAUGUUGUGACAUAGCAAAAAUAACACAAAUGUUUCCCCCUUUUUGUAGCUUUGACAAUUUGAAUUAGAUUUCAAAUAAAAUCUGAACAGAAAUUUAAAAUGUGGUUUUCUUGCCCCACUUACGACACAUCUUUAAAUGCAUUCAUAGUUUGUUUGGAAGUACUGUGUAUUUCAGACAUACUAUGCUGUUUAAAAGCUUUCUUCAAUGGAGUAUAUAUCAACAACUGUGGUCCUUACUUUUUGUUAGUUCGCAUAUCAAAAUAAAAGCACCUUUGAAUCCAGCUGAUGGGUUUAAUUUCCCAUUGUGAUACUUAAUAUAGGAGCAUUUGUCCAGUUUGGUGCCUACAGUUGGACAAAUUUAAGAGUUCCUAUGUUCCAGAGAUGUUACCUGUUCUGGUGGUAUUUCUCUAUCUUAAGUAUGAGGACUCUCUGAAAGCAAAGAGAAUUUUAAGUGUAGGGGUUAUGUAUGAAAUGAUGCAUCGGUAAGCCACAUUAGUGGCAUGCCUUGGGAACAAUGAAAGGAAAAAAGGCCAAAGGCUGAAUUAUUUUCCUCAAAAAAUAUAGUUAGAGUGAUUGUAACAUAUAUACAUUGUGACUUGUUUUUCUAAAGUAGAUUUUUAUUCCAAAAGCAGAGCUUUUACAUUACAUGUUUUUUACUGAAUUUAUUUCCCAAUUGUGAAAACUGUUCAACAUAAGUUAGAAGAAAUUAAUUUUUUAUUAACUUGUUUUUUAUUUAAUCAUCUGUUGGAACCAAACAGCUGUAACUUUUUUCUUCAUUUUAGAUUUUCACCUACUUUACUCUGCUCUUUAGGUCUUGCUGUAACUUAAAAUCUCUUCUGCUUGCUCUGCAAAACUUAACUUUUUUUUACGGAAGAAAAAGAAAUCAGGAGAGUUCAAUGUUAAGACUUGGCGGUGUGGGUGGAUUGUAAUAAACAUGUAAAAUAAAAAGGGACCUGGUGUCCUGUGAAGUGUUUCUGAAAAUUAUACUGUGCUCAUCGCAGCCAUGGAGUGUUAGAUGAUCCUAUUAUUAUGCUGGUGUACUUGUGGCUUUUAAAGUCUGAACUUUAAAAGGGAGGGUGGGGGAACUUGUAUAUUAUUUGUAUGUCUGUAGUCAGCCUAAGAUGCUGAAGACAAUUGCAAAUACAGGAUCUAAAAUACCUUUAUUAAAACCUUUAUAUUUGGCCCUUCAUCUUUCCUCCCCUCUUUCCAUUUCAGUCUUUGAGGUACUGAUAAUUAAAGUGAUAUAAAUAUGAUGGUUAUAGGUGAAGCAUAAUUGAAGGUUGUCCUAACAACCCAGGAACUGUGAAGGAGACUUCUGGACCCUUAAAUAUAAAGAGAAUACAUGUGUGCUAUGAAGGCUUUGUUGGCCAUGAGUUUUGAAUAAAUGCAUUACUCACAAGAAGAGAAUACACAGUAAAGUAUUUGUUUACUCUGUUUUAAAGAAACUUUAGAAAUCUGAGUUCAUUUAAAAAAUAUUUUUCUUAUUGCUUUGCCUGUAAAACCAGACAGGCUCAGUGCUAUGAAUGAAUGAAAUAAAUAUAUUAUUCUUAGAAAUUUUUAAAAAUGAUCUAAAAUAGUUUUUUCUUUAAAUACUGUCAUUUUGAUUUCAAAAUAUAUACCGGUAAUGCCAGAAGCAAAAGGCAUCAGUUGAAUGGGAUAGUACUAGUUCUGAAAUGAGUGUGUUCCUAUUUAAGGUCAGAUAAAAACAGAAAUAGCAGAGUGCAGUUGAUUCAGUUAAAGAUUCAAUAUAAAUGCAGUUUAUCACAAGAACAUCAUCCUGACAUCUGCAGUAUGAAGUGUGGAUGUUAUAUUUGGGGAGAGGAAAUGAAAAAAAAUUUUGAAAAAAAGGAAAAGCCAAAUGGAAAGCCUACUAUAUGAGUUAAGAAUUCAACAUUAUUAUAAAUUUACAGUCAGUUAUUAAGCAAGUUCCAAGUCAAGUAGCUAUAGGCCUGUAACAGCCUGGCUAACAGCAAUUCUGUAUUUUAUAAUAGCUUUUAUCAGC